UGUGUGCACAUGCAUGCAUGGAAACAAAAAAGCAAGAACGCAGGCAGGUCAACGACUCCACCCAGAUCUGAAAUUUGUAGCAUUAUGUGCAUGUAUUUGACCAAGCUGAUGAUUGUGCUGGCGGCAACGAAAUAAUUGUAGCAGGCUAUACAUAUAUGGCCUGAUCGAGAGAGAAAAAUUAAAGAAAAAGGGCAACGAAUUGUAGUACGACGUAGUUUCGACGAAGCCUGGUUUUCUACAGCAUAUGCCAUGCUGGGCAGGAACAGAUAAUGAGAAAAGAGGGUAAAACCUGAGUCCAUCUGCGUUGAGUCCAUGGUUUUGACUCUUGACCAACCCAAAGUCAGUAGUUUCGACGAUGGGUUCAGGAUGUGUGUCCAUGCACAAGCUUCUAAUGCCAGAGCUGUGGUUACUUUGAAUUUGUGAAAUUGUUUCUUUACAACUGUUCCCCGGAUGUUUCAUGUUUGUACUAUACAUUCAAAUUUGUUUUUGAGGGAAUACUAUACAUUCAAUUGUGUCGAGAAUAUGUGACUGGUCCUCAUGAGCUUGUU
rnacentral:lncRNA from 1 species